CCUACGGGUGGCAGCAGUAGGGAAUUUUCGUCAAUGGGGGGAACCCUGAACGAGCAAUGCCGCGUGAGUGAAGAAGGCCUUCGGGUCGUAAAGCUCUGUUGUAAGAGAAAAACGGUCAUUAUAGGGAAUGAUAAUGAAGUGAUGGUAUCUUACCAGAAAGCCACGGCUAACUACGUGCCAGCAGCCGCGGUAAUACGUAGGUGGCAAGCGUUAUCCGGAAUGAUUGGGCGUAAAGGGUGCGCAGGCGGUCCAGAAAGUCUGUAGUAAAAGGCAUUGGCUCAACCAAUGUAUGCUGUGGAAACUGAUGGACUAGAGUGCAGGAGAGGGCAGUGGAAUUCCAUGUGUAGCGGUAAAAUGCGUAGAUAUAUGGAGGAACACCGGUGGCGAAGGCGGCUGCCUGGCCUGUAACUGACGCUGAGGCACGAAAGCGUGGGGAGCAAAUAGGAUUAGAUACCCUGGUAGUC
rnacentral:rRNA from 1 species